CCUCAUUCAGCGAAGUCGGAAGCAUCCUCGGAGGCUUUGAUUCUGGCUUGAGUCUUUGCGAUUCAAAUCUUGAAUUCUGUGCAAACUGACUCUUUGGGACUACAUCUGCAGUAUUUACUGAAGAUGAACACGACUGUGACAUGACACUUCUUAACUAGAAAGGCGAGUGAAGAACUGAUCAGGAAAACUCAGAAACCUUCCUCCAUUUCCUAAGAACUAUCUGGAGCAGAUAAAUAUCUACAUUUUCUUAGCAUUGGAACACAUGCCGUUAACAAAGCAGCUGUCACUGUGUCACUGCAUCUCGUUCCUGGACAAUUUAAGAUGCCC
rnacentral:lncRNA from 1 species